UGGGUCAGUCACCACUCUGACCAGGUGAUGAACCACACAUUGACACCUUCAGCCACUCGGAGUCUCACAGGUGGACAUGGCUGGUAACACAUCAACAUGGGUCUGUCUGAUCCUGGCCAUCUCUCUGAUCCCACUAAAUCCCUGUCUGUCAGGGGAUCCUAAUUCAGCGUCCCUCACCCUACCAUGAUGAUGAGGACUGGGCGGAGGCAGAUUUCAGCGGAUCUGGAGACGGACAGAGUCAUGAAGACAACUCAAUCAGACAGUCGCAUGUCAGUAGCCAAGAUGGCAAGGUGAUAGACCUGACAUUACCUGUGGAUCAGGAGAUUCCCAGCAAACCCACAGGGAAAAACUCAGUGAAAUUAACAAGUGACACUAUACAUCUGAAGCCAGUUAACAGUAUGUCUCAGUCAGUCAAAGACUCACAGGGAUUAAGUCAACGUAAGAAAUCAUCGAAACAGCGAAAAGCAGAGUCUUCAAGAAAAGACAAAAAAAUUGAUAAGAAUAUCAAAAGAAAAAAGAAACUCUUGAGAAAGACCAAGCAAAAUUGCUAAAAUUCUGAAUCUAGCUCAGUCAAAGUCAUCAGUCACCCUAAAGGGAGAAAAUGUGAAAGAACAGCAAGCAAGACCAUCAUGUCAGAAGGAACAGUUACCAAAAUGGUCAUCAAGAUCUGCCACGAAAAGACAUCGCAAAUCAUCACCAUAAGAAACGCUGGAGAAAGAAUAUGGAUUCUAAUCGUCAUGGCUACGGUUCAAAAGGCACUUCACGCAAGAGAAAGAAGACAUUUGAGGACAGGUGGCCCGGGUGUUUCUCCAAAUAUCAGUCAUGCUACCGGGACAGUAACUGCUGCAACAACAACUGCCAUCGCUUCACAUGGCUCAGCUUCGGUUUCUGCUUGUGAGAUAGGAUGGAUGAGAAGAUGGUGGUAAAACUGGUAAAAUUAAUAUUGUGUUUACCAGACAACUGUGUCACAUGGAGAUGAAUGCCAUUUUGUGGCAAAAUGCUGAACAUUCUGUAGCUCAACAAGGAACCAGUGGAGAUGUAUGCACCUGUAGUUCCGUGGCAAAUGGCUGAACAAAGAUCCAACAGAGAUAUAUGUACGCCCACAGUUCUGCGGUAAAAGGCUGAACAUAGGAUCAAUAGAGGCAUAUGUACGCCCACAGUUCUGCGGUAAAAGGCUGAACACAGGAUCAAUAGAGGCAUAUGUACGCCCACAGUUCUGUGGUAGAAGGCUGAACAUAGAAUCUAUAUACACAGGUUUCCAGUUUUGAAGUAAAUGGCUGAACAAAGAAAAACCAGAGAUUAUGCCCUUAACUGUAGUAAAUUUCUGAACAAAAAAUCAGUAGAUAUACAGGCAUGCAGUUGGGUUGCAAAUGGCUGAAACUAACACCAGUAAAGAUAGAAAGUUAUAAUCUGGUCCGGUGAACAGAGCCUGCAAUAAAAAAAGGAGUAAUGGUUGAAGUCUUAUAGUGGUAAUGUAGCACAACAGCCCCAAUGAUGGAGUAUGGUAUCAAACACAUCCUGUUAUGUGGACAGAGGUAAUGAGAAGACAGUGGGUGGGCCCCUCCAAUGAGAGGACCAUGGGAUUAAUGCUAGCUUCAAUCACAUACCGCCCUGACUGGAGAGGUUGUGUCUGGAGUAUACUGUAACCACAUGCAGCACAAAAGGAACUCAUAGUUUGUACAUGAUAGCCCUAGAGCAGAUCUUAGCUUGUUUCUAUAGAGCGGCCACCAGAAGUUAAUGACUCUGGGAUAGUUUUAUGACAGUAAAUGUAAGCUUAUCCAUGCAAGAGUUUGUUAGCACACUGAAGUGGAGUUUAUGAAACCAGUUUUAGGCACCAUACAAAAAGAGUGUGUUAGCUCCACAUUACUUCACAAGUGUCUGUCAGGUCUUCUGACAGCGGAAGCAAAAAGUCUACAUGAAGUCCACGUACGAUGGGAAAUAAUCAAAAAGCAGAUAAAAGGGAAAUGUCACUAUGAAGGAUACACCUCUUGUUGUUCUUUUGUUACUGUGUGGAAAAUUUGUACGAUGCAAGCAAAACUUCAUGAAUUUUACAAUGAUAAAAGGAUGUCAUCUGGCAAACUCUUAUUUAUUAUGGUUAAAAGAAAAAAGCAAGAAAUAAGAAUAAAUGUGACAACCAACCAUAUCUGUCACCUCCUUAUCUCUCUUCAUUCAACUAGGGGGGUUUUACCACUUUAUACUCUUCCUGUCCUAUGUAUUUCAUUUCAUUAAGAUAUACUGUACUUGCCCUAAAACUUUGUCCAAAUAAAGCUAUCACUUUUGGUGAUGAAAGUUUUUUUCUAAUAGGAUAUUAUCCUACCUACCAAACAAACCUUGAAACACCUUUCCUCGAUCAAUAGGGCUCGGGCAAUGAGAGAAUAAUACAUUCAUGGACAAAAUUUCUGGCCAAAUACAGUACAUAGUUCAUGGGCGUAUCAGUACACCUGUACGUAGCCACAUUAAUACUGUCUACAAUAGCCUCCUGUCUCUGUACAAAGACUUUUUAAUACAUAAAACAUCCUUAUGAGUUUUGGGGUUGGUGGAGCGAAUGGAAUCGUUCAUUACCGUUGUCUAUGCCAUGCAUCAAAUUUUAAGACAUUUGCAGAUUUUCGAAUGAAAUUAAGAAUAUGUCCUAGUGACGCAUCAUGGAAAGGAAUGUAAAGUAUGUGUAUUAGUGACCUGUGAACACUGAAAAAUAAUUUUAGCUGAUUUCAGCGUCGGGACACUUGGACAAAUGUUCUGCGGAGUUUAAAUUUGAACUGAACGGCCAAAAUAUGCAUAAAAAUUUUAUCAACAAUAUUUAAAGCAGUUAUUGUUUGGAAACCAUUGACCACUGAGAAUCGCAUGGAAUUAAUAAAAUAUUAACAGAUUGAACUGUUUUCAAGUCUGAUUCAAGGUUCAACAAAGCUAACUAGUACAUAAAAUGUUCUGAAAAUCUAACAAUACUAGAGCAGUGAUUGCAC